rnacentral:lncRNA from 1 species
UUUGUAACAAAACAACGCUAUUUUGGCACCAAUUAAUCUAGGCCAUCCGUUUACUCUCAUGCAGUGGCCCACGAUUGUGUUGGAUUAACAUAAAAUAGUCCAAAUAACUUCCAAACCCUAAAAACCAUUUCUCACCUUCCUCGUACCCCCUGUAACGCCAGCAUAUCACCACCGCUCCUCCGCCGUCCGCCGGCGGCGGCGAUGCACUGAUUGACCCCACAAUUACACUAUAGAUACUCCUCCAUCUCCUCUUUCCAUAUCCGGGUUUAGUUUCCUUCAAAUACCACCCCAAAUCUCCGAAUAACCAAAACCUUAGCACCCCCACCACCGUGCACGGCGGCGCCGCCGUCCAAACUCAACCAAACUCACACCCCAUAACCCCCAGGUCACCACAAACCCAUACUCUUGGUUAUUUCAUAGAAAACUCUAAUCGGAUGGCCCCAACUUCACAUCUAGGGUUCUAAGCAAGGUUGAAAUUGCGACUUAUGAUUACCAGUGUCUAAUGACCCUGAAAGUGAUAUUAUGUGUUUAUUUGACAUGGAAUAAACGUAUAAUAUUAAUUUUGGGGUCAAUUUCAAGUUAGUGCAUCAACGUCAACAAUCAGUGAGUUCUUCGAUUUUUCUUCUCUUUUUCCUUUUUCUGAUAUUAUUUUUAUUUUUAUUUUUGCAUAACUGUUUGGCUUCUUGAUUAAUUGAGUUGAUUAAUCUACUUCACUAGCAUCAAUGUUGAUGUGUUGAUUUUAUUUUAGUUAAGUGUAGUGUCUGAUUGCUAAUAAAUGUUCAGUAAGGCUUCGAAUUUUACUUUUGUUUGUCUAUUUUUCAUUUUUUCUUUUAGGUAAUUGUUGUUUUUCAUCAAUAAACUCUUUGAAAUUUUCUGAUUUGAACUUGGCUUGAUCCUGUUAGUUUAAAUGUUUAGAGGCUAGUUUAACUUUGAUUAGUUUAAGCAUUAUGGAUUUUCUGUUAGCUUUUAUUUGUUUUUAAGGUCUCUAUUAGUUUAAUUUUAUGUUUCAAGUCAAUGAUUAGCUUAUGCAGUAAUUGUUCAAAGUUAUUUGAGUUAAGCUCUUUUGAUUGAUAAUUGUUCUUUAAUCCAAUGUUCAUUUUCAAGUUAAUUAGGCUUAGGGUUUGGAUAUAGUUUAUUUAGACUUACUGGGUUUAACCACAGUUAUUUGACCAAGGAUAAAAAGGGUUUGGGGUUGGUUGAUAAUUUCAGAGGUAGUCAGGGGUGUUUGGACACCUAAAAUAGGUUAGUUUGUUAAGGCUCAGUAAUUUCAGAAUAAAAGUAGGGGUAGUAUAGGUAUAACAUAGGUAGAAAACAAAGUUAGAACACUCUAGAUCCUUCUAGAAGGGGUCUUAAUGUAAGCUUCACCAUUUUGAAAGCAGUUUCUUGAUAAACAAGUUAAAACUUUAGGAUUAGUAAGUAAUUUGUGAAAAUAAAAAGGGAAAAAAUGAGUGAAAACCUGUAGAACAUUCCCGCCCCUUCCUUGCCUAUAAAAAGCAGGCCUAAUGCCUUCAUUUACAAGUUUCAACAUAUGAAAAUUUCCCUCAAAAAUUGCUCAACAAGAUUCAAGUCUAAUUUUUUGAAUUUCAAAUUCCAAACCAAAAAAAAAAAAUAGAAACAACAGAAAACUUCAAAAUAUGUAUUGUUCCAUUGAGAAUUAGAAUUCCUAGAGUUCAAGAUUCAAGUUUCAAGUCAUUUUUGAGUUUUCUUCAAGCUAUUUUGGUUUUUCUAGUUGCUGGAAGUUUAAGAAGUUCUUCUUGGGUUUAAUUUUUAUCAAUUUGGAUUUAUCCGAGUCUAUUUGGUUGAACAUUUGUGAUGUGUUUUCACGUUUCGAUUCUGGACUGAUUCUAAUGUUGGUUGCUUGGUUGUGAGCUUAGAUUUGAGCUGUUCUUUUGUCACUUGCUGCUGCUAAUUCCUAUUUUUCUUCUCCUUGUGACUUAACUCCAGGUACACUACUGUAGAUCUCGAAAUUUGGAUUGAAAUAAAAUGCUGCCCGUAUGCUUCUUUGCAUUUUUAGCUGGUUCAGAAUUUUAUUGCAUCUUCAUGUAAAACGAUCAAGUUUCAUUUUAAAACCGAGAUGUGCGAUUGUAUAUUGAUAUUAGUUUGUAGUUGUUAUACUGAAGUUGAUUAGGAGUAUUCAUAAAGUCAGGACUGUUUGGGACUGUUAUUAAGGACUGCCGGAUUUUUUUUAGUUUUUGGGUCUGUUUCACCGUAGCAAUUAUUACUAGUUUAGAGUUGUUUAGUUUUGUCACGACCCUAGUUCACCAAUUGUGAACAUGCCAUGACGGUACCUAGUCUUCAUGACUAGGUAAGCCUAUCACAUUGCGGAAUUUACAUCCUUUACCAAGAACAAUAACUUAAAGCG